rnacentral:lncRNA from 1 species
GUCUCUUCUUCUCCACGUUAAACAUAACAAUAUCUAACCUACUCUUUUUCUCUUCUUCUCCACGUGAAACAAAACAAGUUGAACCAAAGCAUGCAAUCUCCCACGGUCCUCUGUAUCCUCCUCUUUCUCUGUUUCUCUCUCCCAGUGUCUUCCUCUCUCUUUCUAUUUAUCUCUCUUUCCCCAUAGAAAACAAAAUCACCAGUUUACCGCAACAAGAUGGGCGCAAGGCCAUGACCCACAACGAAAAAGGUUUAUCCAACAAAGGACAAUGGAGCGGCGGCAAGGGAUCCAACAGAUCCGUCCAGAUCAUGUCCCUCGGGAUACUCUUCUCCAGCGAGGCAUAGAAACUGAGAGGCGGCACGGAAGCAAGCCAGCUGGGGGCAUUGAUCCAGUGUAGUCAAUGAACUUGUUGCGUCAAUUUUCUUUUCCUCAUUUGGAUCAGGUUCACCUCAAACAGACAAAAUAUCUAUUUAAGAAUAUCUGGAUGAAGUUGGUUUCUCACACAAUUUUGUACUGUUCCAGUUUAUACUUGAAUCUAUCCCAACUUUACCAUUGGAUUUGGAUUAGCCAAGGGCAUUCUAGCCAAUUUGCUUCUAGCGGUUUGCUGUACCGAUUUAAAUCACACUGCAAGAGUACACACUUCAUAUACGGCUUACAGUAAUAGAAGGACGUGAGUUGAUCAAAGUUCCAUACUCCUUUCUUUCUGAUUUGCGGCUUGACUAAUCCUUACAAUUAUGUGUUCCUUUGAUCUGUUAUGUUAAAGUUCUAUUUUCUUUGUCUCUACAAUUUAAGAUCUAAAACAAUGGUGUACGAUAUGCUUCAUGCAAUUAGUAAUUAGCCUACGGGAUUCCAUAUUUCCAUUAGCCUUGACAACAACAACCUUGAGAUGAAGAGGUCAGUUUAUUGUCUAACAAGUUAUUGUUAUUUACGCAUGAAGAUUCAGUUUACAUGGCAUCAAAUUAUAAGGUAACAUCCACUUUGAAUUUCCAUCCACUUUAAAGCGACAAGAUGCUUAUUUUCUAUCUAUUACUAUACUAAUUAUUUACUUCCUAGAAAUUCCCACGUAAGUGAUAUAUAAAAAAAAGAACACAACGUUGAUUUUAUGGGUCUGAGUUAUGACAAUCCAGAUUUGAUGUGAAAUCUUUAAUUGAAUAGUCAGAAAAAAGAGGAAAUAGAACAGUUAAUUUAUGUUGCGAACGACCACCCUUCCUCUCCUUAUUUGUGGUGCGCGAUCUCCUCUCUUAAUCAUGUCUGUUGUGGUUAACAAGUUCAUCCGUUGAUGCUCCCAACACAAGACCAUGCACAAUUUAUCGCUUCAUGCAUAUGUGCUCCCGGGAGAAGUUGAUUAGUUCCUAAUUUAUUUCUAAAUCGGCAGCAAGGAAUUAGACUAAGGCUUUUGAAAUUAUCGAUUUUGAAGACACACACCACGAGUUUUAUUCCAUCAAAGCUCAAACAUGAUCUGCUUAUCAAAAGUAAAUUUGUUGCAUAUCUAUUUUGUAUCCAUAAGUGCAUCACCAUUCCUGUCACUUUCCAAAAGAAAUCCACACACAUAAACUGCAUGUUUGUGUUCGUAGGGCUGCAUGCUAGCUGAUUUGCUGUUUGCACCAUGCACUUGAGAUCGAGCAGCAAGCCAUGCACGCAUGUCACUUAAUUAGUUCGACUUGGGGCUAGAUACCCGUACCACAAUAUGAGCAUGUGCUGAAGGUGAGUUUUUUUCCUGGUAAUCAAAAAUUUGUGAUUCAUCUCCUCUUAGAGCGCAAAACAAAAAUACUUUGUUGUGUAUCUGUUUGAUAUAUCUCUCCACUAAACUGUAACGCAAUAUGUUUUCCAUAAUGUUUUUGAUAGUUCUAAGUUGCAAACAAAAUUAAAAUCUUAAGGGAUGUCCCCACUUGGCAGGUAGAGAGACGGUACUUGUAAGCAGUCUGAAUGCUUCCAUGUGCCCUUAAUAACCAUGCAUGCAGCAAAACCCAUCUGGAUACCACAAUUCGAUACAGUUUUAGCAAAGUCAAUGAAAUAAGCAAUUUACUAACAUUGCAAGACAAAGAUAGAAGCAUAACAGCAUACAGAUUGAUCUAACCUAAUGGUCAAACAAUUGGUAAUUAUUUAUGCUACAUAGCUAUAGUGACCAUGUUUAGUUAUGCUCAUACUAGGCAAUGCGGUAAUGUAUGUGUCAAUUUCGACACAUCCAUGAUGUUGUCAUGACCUCCAUAAAUUAGUUAAUUAUGAGUAUUUUAUUGGUGUUUUUUUAUUGAUGGAGGGAGUGAUUAUACAGUUCAUAUGUUAGCUGGUGGGUUGCAAGGGGGAAGCAAUGUUGUUAAAGGCUGGAGGAUUUCAAAUAAGAUUCCUGCGUAAGGGGGAAAAAUGUAAAAGCAUAGUGUUCAUGAGCCAUGAGCCAUGAGCCAUAUCAACAUCUGUGGACUGUUUGUUUCAUAUUUGGUUCCAUUGUAACCUUAUAAGGUCACCAUGCAAAUAUUGUUAUUCAUGAGUCAAACUAAAUCGGUUAGGCUUCACAAAUCGUAAAUCAUAUCAUCAUUUCAUCAUAAUCCUUCCUCCCAUUUGUAAGUGUUGUUUCAAUAGUACUUCGAUAAUAUCCGAGAACGGAAAUACAUUACUUGUCAUGUCUAUUAUGUGGUGACCUCCGGAAAUAUACUACUAUGCUACUGAGACUCUAAUUAGAUUUACAGUAUGACAUGUAAUAUUUCAAUGUUAAUUGUGCAAACACCCAAAGUAUGUCCAGUCAAAGCCAACAAUGGAAGAAAAUUUGUAUUAGAGGCAUAAUACUUGACAUUCCAAUUUUGUGCUGAACUAUAUGUUACUUUGUGAGUUCUCAAAAACUCAUUGUCACGAAAACAUUGUAUGCACUUGGCCGUGCAAAUGCAGGGGUUAACGAAUAUCUCCCCUAAUAAUAAAGCACGGAGCGCUUCUGUCGUCCGUCGUUGGCGUUUUUGCAAAACAAAAACCUCUGUUUCUUCGAAAUCAACCCGCGGUCCCUGUGUAAGUGCAUCUGAAAAAACGUUUUCAGCGACCGCAUCUUCAGCUUGCGAUGCGGACGCCCGGGCCGACACUGGGCGGCGCGGGAGGCUAGCAGGCAGGGGCGGCGCGGGAGGCUAGCGGGCAGGGGAAAGCAGAGCAAAGCCAGCAAUCCAUCGGAAUCGAUCCACCACCACCGAAGAAAAAGACGGAAAGGAGCAGGUAGAAGAAGAUGAAAAUAGCAUACUACAUACAUGAGGUCUUUGCGUCGACGUGUCCGAGAAAGGCGCAGAGCUCCAUCAUCUGCAUGUCGAUGCCGCCGGUGGUGUAGAAGCCCUGGUUCUCGAAGAGGGAGGCGGCGGUGAUGAUGGCCUGGUAGUCCCAGAAGCCGACGGCCUUGGCGACGGGGAAGUUGCGCUUGGCGAAGAGGUUCUCGAACUUGUACACCUUGAAGAAGUCGGUGAUGGUCUGGUUGCAGCAGUACUUGGUCCCGGAGCACUCCCACCCCUUGUUGCACACCUUCUCCUGCGACUCCUUGAGCUUCACCUUCCACGUCCCCGCCGUCAGGAUCCUCUCACAUGUAAUUAUGCUCACGCACAAAUGUCCUUGUACGUACCAUAGAUUCAUAUACCUGACAAUAUUCAACUUUUCUGAUGUAGUAAGAAUGUAAAUCGUUAUUUUGUCAUUAGUGUUUUAGUUUGUUGGUUACAGGUAUAUUAUUCCAAUAUUCAUACUAUAGAAGUUGUUGCCAGGGAGUGCGAGAGGGUCAACACAGUGGCCAGCGAGGGGAGCACCAUCACGGGAGUUUUGUACAUAGAAGGCAACGUCGAGGAGAUGUCGACCGCCUUCUUUUACGGUAACAUAGAUCGUGCGCAUAUGGCCUCAACAUGUAAAUAGAGAUGGAAAGGGGCAUAUAGAUCUCUCAAGCAUGCAAUGUUUUUCCCGGAUGACAAUUUUUUUUACAUGGCUUCAAAAUUGAA